AUUGAACGCUGGCGGCAUGCCUUACACAUGCAAGUCGAACGGUAACGCGGGGCAACCUGGCGACGAGUGGCGAACGGGUGAGUAAUGCAUAGGAACGUGCCCAGAAGUGGGGGAUAGCCCGGCGAAAGCCGGAUUAAUACCGCAUGAGACCUGAGGGUGAAAGCGGGGGAUCGGCAGACCUCGCGCUUUUGGAGCGGACGGUGUCGGAUUAGCUAGUUGGGGGGGUAAAGGCCUACCAAGGCGCCGAUCUGUAGCUGGUCUGAGAGGACGACCAGCCACACUGGGACUGAGACACGGCCCAGACUCCUACGGGAGGCAGCAGUGGGGAAUUUUGGACAAUGGGCGCAAGCCUGAUCCAGCCAUGCCGCGUGCGGGAAGAAGGCCUUCGGGUUGUAAACCGCUUUUGUCAGGGAAGAAACGCUCUGGGCUAAUACCCUGGGGUAAUGACGGUACCUGAAGAAUAAGCACCGGCUAACUACGUGCCAGCAGCCGCGGUAA
rnacentral:rRNA from 1 species